UUUUACCUUCUUCAUCACCAGAAAUCCCCUUUAAAAGGCACUCCUCCAUAGAUCUUGAAGAUCAGAUUUGAUUUAGUAAGGUAGAGUGACAGGUGUACAAGACAUGGUAUAAUCUAUCUUGAGAGCAUGCAAGUACUCUGGAAAUAUAAAACCUGUGGAUCCUGUCUAUGUGGUUUUUGAUAUUCUCACCAGUGUCCACAGUACUCGAAGGAUUGAUGUGAAAAUUUAGAGAUCUGCUAUGUUAAAUUUUCCUUGUCUGGGAGGUCUUUUCUGAAGCUCUUUUCCCCAAACUAAAAUUUCACUUUGAGUUUAUGCUAAACAAAUUGCAGUGCAAUUUUGCUGCUAUGAUUUUAUUCAUUAUGUUUUUGAGGCAUAUAUAGUAAAGAUUUUAUUUUCAAUAAAUGCAAAUUGUGUUUUUCAGUCACGGUAACACCACAGUAGAAGAAAUUAAGAUGUCUGAUGCAUCUGUCUUGAUAUCAGAAUAUCAUAAUCUUGGUAUUUAAAAUUCACUGAAGAAAAAAUUGCUCUUAUGAUGUACAGAUGCAUCACUCUAGGAUUAGUAUAAUUUGUGUCCAUGUCUAGUUGUCUAUAUUCUUAAAUUUUAAAGACUUAAAGUAAUAGUAAGUUAUUGUUUUUCAUUUUAUUGGCAAAAUUGAAGUAUUAGAUGGGGCUUGACAAUAAAAUGAAAGACCACGC